GACGAACGCUGGCGGCGUGCUUAACACAUGCAAGUCGAACGAUGAAGCUGGAGCUUGCUCCGGUGGAUUAGUGGCGAACGGGUGAGUAACACGUGAGCAAUCUGCCCUUGACUCUGGGAUAACUGCGGGAAACUGUAGCUAAUACCGGAUACGAGAUUUGGAGGCAUCUCCGGAUCUGGAAAGAAUUGCGGUCAAGGAUGAGCUCGCGGCCUAUCAGCUUGUUGGUGAGGUAAUGGCUCACCAAGGCGACGACGGGUAGCCGGCCUGAGAGGGUGACCGGCCACACUGGGACUGAGACACGGCCCAGACUCCUACGGGAGGCAGCAGUGGGGAAUAUUGCACAAUGGGCGAAAGCCUGAUGCAGCAAUGCCGCGUGAGGGAUGAAGGCCUUCGGGUUGUAAACCUCUUUUAGUAGGGAAGAAGCGAAAGUGACGGUACCUACAGAAAAAGCACCGGCUAACUACGUGCCAGCCGCCGCCGUAA
rnacentral:rRNA from 1 species